AUGCUUGGGCCUCGUGCCACUACCAUCGCUGUAAAUACCCGCGACGAGCUCGAGCCCCUUCUCAAGUUCCGCUCAACCCCUCUGCUCUCCUCUCGCCUCUCCGCAGGGCUGCGGGCGGACGCGCAGCUGAUCGAGGACGGAGGGGGCCUCCAGCCACCCGGCGGGAGCCUCCGCCUCUCCUGCAAGGGAACCGGGUUCACCUUCAGCAGCUUCGCCAUGUUCUGGUUCCGACAAGCACCCGGCAAGGGGCUCGAGUACGUCGCAAGUAUUGAGGAUGAUGGCGGUAGCACAAGCUACGCGGAUGCGGUGAAAGGGCGCUUCACCGCCUCCAGGGACAACGCGCAGAGCACGCUCUACCUGCAGAUGAACAGCCUCAAGGUCGAGGACACCGGCACCUACUACUGCGCGAAAGCUGCUGCUAGUGGUAGUAUUUGUGGAGACCCAGUUGGCCCCUGUCAUCACUAG